rnacentral:rRNA from 1 species
CAGCCGCCACGGUAAUACGAAGGGGGCUAGCGUUGUUCGGAUUAACUGGGCGUAAAGCGUGCGCAGGCGGUUAUAUAAGACAGAUGUGAAAUCCCCGGGCUCAACCUGGGACCUGCAUUUGUGACUGUGUAGCUAGAGUACGGUAGAGGGGGAUGGAAUUCCGCGUGUAGCAGUGAAAUGCGUAGAUAUGCGGAGGAACACCGAUGGCGAAGGCAAUCCCCUGGACCUGUACUGACGCUCAUGCACGAAAGCGUGGGGAGCAAACAGGAUUAGAUACCCCAGUAGUCCCUGUCUCUUAUAU